rnacentral:rRNA from 1 species
UUCCAGACUCCUACGGGAGGCAGCAGUGAGGAAUAUUGGUCAAUGGACGAGAGUCUGAACCAGCCAAGUAGCGUGAAGGAUGACUGCCCUAUGGGUUGUAAACUUCUUUUAUAUGGGAAUAAAAUGUUCCACGUGUGGGAUUUUGUAUGUACCAUAUGAAUAAGGAUCGGCUAACUCCGUGCCAGCAGCCGCGGUAAUACGGAGGAUCCGAGCGUUAUCCGGAUUUAUUGGGUUUAAAGGGUGCGUAGGCGGAACAUUAAGUCAGCGGUAAAAUCGAGGGGCUCAACCCCUUUAAGCCGUUGAAACUGGUGAUCUUGAGUGGGCGAGAAGUAUGCGGAAUGCGUGGUGUAGCGGUGAAAUGCAUAGAUAUCACGCAGAACUCCGAUUGCGAAGGCAGCAUACCGGCGCCCGACUGACGCUGAGGCACGAAAGCGUGGGGAUCGAACAGGAUUAGAUACCCCUGUA